CAAGCAGCCUGAAGCACAACGCCCGACGCACAAAGCCUGGCUGUCUUCCUGCCGCCACUGGAGUCCCUUCCUGCGAGUGAGCUGCUCGCCCUCUUCUUUCUCUGCUCUGGAUCUGCCACCACGAACUGAAGGGCCACUGGAGCUGGGGGGUCUACAGCCCUGAUUUACCAUUCCAGAGACAGAUGAGUGAACCUACUCAGGACCCCACUGGAGUUAAGGGAUCUCGUGCACUGCACUUUGCAGGAAGAGGGCCGCAACUUGCUCUCUUCCUGCCGUCACACAUUCUCAUGAUUUCUUCAUGCAAGGAUUUGGGGGAAUACACACGGCUCCUCCUUUCCACCAUCUGCCUGAGAACUUCACCUCAGCGGAGGGGAGUUGUACCUUUUCUGCCGGAACCUGAAAUUCUCAACUUUCCAGAGUCCAUUUAGUGGAAGACUGUUCUCUAAGUACUGGAGACCUUGAGCGUGAACGGUAUCUUCUGGAUGGGGCUGCCCUUGCCCUUGAACGGUGAUAACCAUCUGACCUUGACCUGCAACGAUUGUUACGACUCUUCCCUUCGCCUCUUCUUGGAUACGGUGGCGAUCGCGAGUGGGAACGAGAGUGGGAACGACUAAAUGAGUGAGAGCAGGAGGCAGUGUGGGAGAAGCACUGCAGGGAGACUUGGAC